CGCGGUAACACGUAGGGGGCGAGCGUUGUCCGGAUUUAUUGGGCGUAAAGAGCUCGUAGGCGGUUCGCUAAGUCGGGUGUGAAAACUUCAGGCUCAACCUGGAGACGCCACCUGAUACUGGUGUGACUAGAGUCCGGUAGGGGAGUGUGGAACUCCUGGUGUAGCGGUGAAAUGCGCAGAUAUCAGGAAGAACACCAGCGGCGAAGGCGGCACUCUGGGCCGGCACUGACGCUGAGGAGCGAAAGCGUGGGUAGCAAACAGG
rnacentral:rRNA from 1 species